rnacentral:rRNA from 1 species
GACGAACGCUGGCGGCGUGCUUAACACAUGCAAGUCGAGCGGUAAGGCCCUUUCGGGGGUACGACGAGCGGCGAACGGGUGAGUAACACGUGGGUGACCUGCCCUCAGCCCUGGGAUAAGCCUGGGAAACCGGGUCUAAUACUGGAUAUGACUCCAUGACGCAUGUUGUGGGGUGGAAAGCCUUGUGCGGCUGAGGAUGGGCCCGCGGCCUAUCAGCUUGUUGGUGGGGUGAUGGCCUACCAAGGCGACGACGGGUAGCCGGCCUGAGAGGGCGACCGGCCACACUGGGACUGAGACACGGCCCAGACUCCUACGGGAGGCAGCAGUGGGGAAUCUUGCGCAAUGGGCGAAAGCCUGACGCAGCGACGCCGCGUGAGGGAUGACGGCCUGUGUAACU